rnacentral:rRNA from 1 species
UACAGAGGAGCCAAGCGUUGUCCGGAUUGACUGGGCGUAAAGCGCACGCAGGCGGAUGCGCGCGUGGGGUGUGAAAUCUGGCCGCUUAACGGCCAGGCGCCAUCCCAUACGGCGUGUCUGGAGGGCUGCAGAGGUCGAUGGAAUUGCCGGUGUAGUGGUGAAAUGCGUAGAUAUCGGGAGGAACACCAGUGGCGAAGGCGACUACCUGGCCUGUUCUUGACGCUGAGGCGCGAAAGCUAGGGGAGCAAACGGG